rnacentral:lncRNA from 1 species
ACACUGGACUGCUUAUACUCUGUAUGAGGUUCGACAUUGGCAGAGCGAGCAUGUGUAAAACUGGUACUCGGGCUUUUAACUGCAAAGGCUCUUUCGUUGUCUGUUUGAGCUCCAAUAAUCAAGUUAGCAUACUUCCUUAACAGGUAGUAAAGAUAUUUUAAGAUCUUUUUCUUUGGUUGGUCACAGUCACUGACUUUCUCCAGCAACUUCUUUAUAGAUCUUUUCUCUAUCAAGAUAGCUUUCGGAGACGUAAUAUGAAGUCGUGAUGCUGCAGAUUGAAGAGCUUUCAUUUCGGCGUAUUCCAUUGAAUCAGAUGCCGCAGCACCUCGAUGGAGUAAUUCGCGC